CCUACGGGGGCUGCAGUGGGGAAUAUUGGACAAUGGGCGAAAGCCUGAUCCAGCCAUGCCGCGUGUGUGAAGAAGGCCUUCGGGUUGUAAAGCACUUUCAGUGGGGAAGAAAGCCUUGGGGCUAAUACCCUCGAGGAAGGACAUCACCCACAGAAGAAGCACCGGCUAACUCCGUGCCAGCAGCCGCGGUAAUACGGAGGGUGCGAGCGUUAAUCGGAAUUACUGGGCGUAAAGCGCGCGUAGGCGGUCUGAUAAGCCGGUUGUGAAAGCCCCGGGCUCAACCUGGGAACGGCAUCCGGAACUGUCAGGCUAGAGUGCAGGAGAGGAAGGUAGAAUUCCCGGUGUAGCGGUGAAAUGCGUAGAGAUCGGGAGGAAUACCAGUGGCGAAGGCGGCCUUCUGGACUGACACUGACGCUGAGGUGCGAAAGCGUGGGUAGCAAACAGGAUUAGAUACCCAGUAGUC
rnacentral:rRNA from 1 species